CUCAGCCAAUUAAAUUACGCUGUUUGAUCACAUGACACCGUUAGCCAGCAGUGUGUCUCCUAAAAGAGAGCUGUUUAAAGAGGCAGUUUUGAAUUUAGGAGCAGCAAGAUGGCAGCGGCAAACCCUGGCGGUUCUCCGGUACUGCACUCUCAAAGACUGAAUGAACCAGCAUUGCC